rnacentral:lncRNA from 1 species
UUAAUUUAACCCUUUCAUGCCGAAUGUAUCCUUUUGGCACCCUCGUGCGCAUGCCGAAUGUAUCCUUUUGGCACACCCGUGUAGAUGCCGAAUGUAUCCUUAAGGAUACAUAAAUUUCUAUUUUUAGACUAUCACAAUCAAGAGUGUAAUAUGCAUGUUUUUACGACUCAGAACGUAGAAUGGUUAAAACUGUAGUAAAAACAUAUUUCAUUAUAAGAAAUAAAAUAAUUAAAAUGUAAAAUUUAUUUUUAAUAAGUGUAAAGUUUUGAAGCUAAGGUGAAAAAA